AUAACGUCACACCCUUCUUUAGUCGCCCACUAGUAAUUAAGCAGUGUCUGAAUAUUAUUCAAUUGGGAAGAACAGGAAGGUUGACAUUUUGACAUUUCACUUUUAGCUACCUCAUUACGUGAACCUUUGACCUCAGCCAAUGGCCUAAGCUUAAUCAUGGCGUCGUGGUCUUUACACGUACCUACUUCUUCCAGAGGAUUUUCUAAUGACGAUGGUAUAACCAAAAUAAACAAAAAUUCACAUUGACGCCAAUAAGCCUAUAGUUCAAACCAAUUAAAUAUACUAUGAAUGAACACGAGUCUGUCGGCUGAUGAAGAUUAUCCAAUGUAAAUGCAUAUAUUACACGACUACUUUAAAAUAGAACUAUUUUCCCAUUCACUACCGAUUUGAUUGGUCUGACUCUAAAAUACUCAGUCAUCCAAAUUAUAUCAUCAAUGAUUGCACUAGUUGGAUCAUAUUUGGAAAAUUAUGAAGUCAUUCAUAAUUUCUGCAUGCAUCACUGCAUCGCCAAUCUGUUCUGUGCCACGUGCAGAUUUAUGAAGGUAUGGAAAGCUGCACGGUUCAACCCUCCUCAUGCACCAAUCAAAUUGUCCGCAGCACCUAAUCCUAAUAAUAACUUGAGAUAAACCUUCUAGAUUUAUGGCACCCAGACCAAUUAUUCAUCCACCGCAUCAAUCAAAUGGUGGUUCGUGUAAGUCAGGAAAGUGCGAACGUCGUGCGCAACUAGCAUAUUCAUACAUUCAUGAUAUGCACUUUGUACGCGGCUGCAUCACUGAAGUAAUUCUCUAUAAUUCAAUAGGAGGAACAAAAACAUGGGACGUCCAGCCUGGUGCGACUUAAAUAUAGCUUUCCAGCCUGUGACUACUUCAAUGAGAUUUAAUUAAUCUGCAAAUUUGGACGAAUGAAUGAUUGGGUGACCGCUAGUAGUGCAGCCUCGAAAGUGUCCGGAUAUUUCUCAUUUAGGAGACGACGCGACAUUGAACUUGGAGAGGAUGGAAAAACACAGGCACCACCAAAAAUUAUCUCUAAAACUUUAAUACUAUUUGGAAACCAUACACCUGCAAACUCUGCACAGUGACACAGCCAUGCGCUAAUUUUAAUAAUCUCAAUUAACAAUCAGUGGGUAUCUAGCCUCCCGUUUAACAUUUUCACAAAAUUAUAUUGUACUCAUACUCAUGCUCCAGAUGCAUGAAACUACCAACUCCAGAAUUUACAGUGACUAUAACUUUAAUUUUAUGUUUUCUUUACUAAAAUGAAACAAACGAUUACGCAAUCUGUAUUAUUUUUGUAUGAAAUUUGUACAAAUUGUAGAAGAACGAAGAUAAAGAAAACUGGAUUUUAAUGAUGAACUAUAUGGAUUACAAAAGACGCUAUAUUUUAACGGAAGAGAGGAAGGUGAGUUUGUUUUAAGCUUAAUUACCCUUCUUUCAACUGUGAUGAUAAGCUCCUACCAACAACUGAUAAUGAUGUUGUAGAUUAGGACAAAAAAUGUCACGUAUGCUGUAUGAGAUCCAAGGAACUGACAUGUGUAUAAUACUUAUGCUAUGAUUCCCGUUUCUAGAAACAAUGUCGUGACCAAUUAACAUUUUUAGGGGGAUUGAAAGCAUGCAGUUUGUGACGCGUGUAACGUGUCUAUAAUGGAUAUAAAAUACAGCAGUUUAUUUCCUGUGAAAUACAUACAUGACAGCACACGUGUGCUAUUUUAUAAUUGCACUAUAUCAAACGAUCUUAUCAUUUCAUAUACUACUGAACUAAUCUAGGAGGAAAAUAGAGUGAUGCCGUAGUGGUAAUUAUCAGGAUGUAAUUGAAUAGCUUUAUCCUGGACGAGUUGUUCCUGGACAUAAUUUUUCCAUUACACAAGUUGCUGCUGGAGCAGAUGCACUCGAGUGAAUUGACAUAAACCAUUUGUCCCUCUUUUGGAAACCAGUGUUGCAUUGUGGUGGGAGUGCACUUGUCCAGUUCCCCCCGAGGCACAACCCCACCCUUUGUUGCUGAGGGUACCCAACAGGACCGAGUCUCACGACGAAGCGGCUUCCCCCAGCCGUCCACGUGACCCUUGAUGAGCAAUGCCGUGUCCGGGCUCACGGUUCCGAAACUAAAAAGGCAUCCUGAACAGAGAGCAAAUUGCACGCAUUUAGAAUGUGUAGGGAUUUAUGAAAGGUUUAAGGUUUUUGUAACUCGUGAUAUCCAUACAACAUAUACCUUGAGCAUCGCUUGGGCAUUGAUCCACAAGAUGAUCACGUCUAUCCUCAAAUCCGAAACAUUCAUCUCCCCAGCAGGCUGACUUGUAACAUUGAAGUGCUGGAAUUGUAAGUGGUAUAACAAUUAGUACGUAAAUGAAAUUUAAUAAGAUUGCACAUCUGGUGUAUUAUUACCUUCAGCGGAGUUGUAGAAUAAGGGCAGAAUUAUAAUUGUAACUAGUAAAACCGCAGAUGGCUGAAUAAACUUCAUAUUUUAAAUACAA